GCACAGUGGGGCUGUAGAAGAAGAAGCUGCAACAUGUUUUUCAAUCGGAGGCGGCUGAUUGUGUUUCAGCAGAAUCAUCAGUUCACCUGAACGCUCUGAUUAAAAAUUCAUCGUUCACAAAAUGAUGCAGUGUGUUACUCACACACGUCUCUGCUGUUUCAGCUUUCUUGAUUUCCACGAACAGAUUCUGAUCAGUGCUAAGAUGAAAUCAGUCUGAUCCAUCGGUUACUGUCUCCCUGCUGCUUCCACGUCAUCUCAACAGAAACACACAGAGGAUGCAUGUUUGAUUUACAGUCACACAGAUUCAUACUAACCACACGCCGUAGACUUCAUGCUAAUUUCCCGGGAGUGUUUCUGACGUUUAGUCUCGGAAGCCUCUUGGAUUUCAGUGCAGACCAGAAGCCGAGAUCUCAUUAAAAUCAAACGCUCCUCAGCACCUCCUGCAGAGAGGAGGGAGCUGCAGACAGACACUUCAUGAAUACUAAUGUCCUCCAUGUUUUGUUCCUCUCCUCCUCCUCCAGCCGAUCAGGCCGACGCCUGCAAGUUUCUGGCCUGUGACGAGUUUUCUCGCUGCGUGGUGAGCGGCCGCACGAAGGAGGCUCGGUGUCAGUGCGAGCGAGGCUUCCUGUCGGUGGACGGCGUCUGUCAGAGUCUGUGCGUCCUCCAGCCGGACUACUGCCAAGGAGGGGAGUGUCACAUAGUCCGUGGACAUGGAGCCGUGUGCAGAUACAGACGCCUGGCCGGUUAAAAGAACACACCGGGAUUGGACGCCACCUGAGAAUACUACAAAAGACUCGAUGAAACUGGACUGAGCAGCAGAACUCGGGACUGUCAUGGACUCGAGGACAAACUGUUCACUUCCAAACUCUCCAGAGCUCCGAGCUUCGUAUCAAAGACGAUCUCCCCUCAGGGGAAACCGACAUUUCUCGAUCAGCUGCCGAUGAACUCUGCAGCAUGGAGCGGGCGGAUGUGGAUCGACUGGGACUGUUUUUGUACUUUGUGCUGACUGUUGGUGGUUCUGUAGUUUAUAGGUUGGUCUUUGUUAAAAAUACAGAAUCUGGACAGGAAACCAGGAAAAAGGAAGUUUGCAUCAGAAAUCUGAACGUCCACCCACCCACGUCACUUCAUAACGAUCUUUAUCCUGAACAUGGAUCAUUGGUGGACACGUAGUGAUGAAGACAAACAUUUCAUGAUGAUCUAGAAGAGCUUCCUAACCUUUGUAAGCUUGUGACCCCUUUUUUUAAAUCAGGUGUUAUCUCCCCGACGCCCCUCAGAGUCUGAAGGUUCUGUUUGUUUCCCCCUCUCGGAUUGAUUGAAGGAUUUUUAGAGGUCCAACGAGGAGAAAGCCGCAACUCUUCAGGUUUAUUUUGGGACCUCUCGACAUUACCGUCCUACAGAAUACACUGAAUUGUAAAUAAGCUGCAUUUCCACCAUUGACUUUCCCCAGGAACCUUUCAAGGAACUCAAGGCUCCAGAUUAAGUUCUCGGGACAUUAUUUUACCCCCAAAAGUUCCAGCUCAGGUGGUACAACUUUGCUAAAGUAGAGGGAGUUUGAGGGUGGGGUUGUGCUGAUGGUCAUCAGACUAAUUUGCCAAAUCUUUGCUGAAGGAAUCUUUUAGUUCCUUGAAAACUUCCUGGGACUAAAGGUUCUGGUACUUUGGGUGGAAAUGCGGCUUAGCGGUCUUCAGCCUGUUAGCUGCUCUGUGUGGUUGUACCUGGAUUUUGUUUUAGGUGGUUAAAGUUACAUUUAGUUCAACUCCUGCCACAAAAUGAGACUCAGACUGAAGCUUGACCUUGAAAAAUGUCUGUUUACUCCCUCUUAAAACAGAUCCAUCCCCACGACAAAUGAUUUUCUUUUGACUUGAAUCACACGUGUAGCUUUAGGAGCUUCUUUUCUGUGAGUUGUUAGAUCUCUGAAGUCGUCAUGUUGUCUUGUACAGUUCAUGUAAACAGACGAACGCUGUUCUUUUCUUUGACUGAUGAUUGUUGCUUUUUGGAAAACUCCGUAGUUAAAAAAUACAAACUGUGUUGAGUCAUAGACGUCACUCUUUAUUUUUCAUGACCCCAAAGUGAAGUGAAAGAAAGAGCGGAGAGCUGAGUGAAACAUGGAAUGCAUUUUAUUCAUCCGUUAGAGAGAUCAGCGUUAGAAAAAUGACAGUGGACAAAGGCAGUGCUUCCCGAGGAAUGAUUGUAAUGUGUGGAGAGAAACAGAUCGGAGCAGAAGGCUGGACGAGUUCGUGUACGCGAGAGGAAACAUUUUGAGGUCGCCGCUCGGGUUUGAAAAACCAAAGUCGUAAUCGUGGGCAAAGCUCAGGGCGGCGGCUCCUUUUCACGGUCGGCAUUAACGUGACUCGAAGCAGACGAGGAAACAAAUCGUCUCAAAGAUUCACGUCCAACUUCUCAGUGUUUGUUUACAUCAACUAAAUGUUCAGAGACGUUCAGGCUGAAGGUCACGAGAACCUUAAAUUAGUUCGACUGAAGAUGAUCAAGAAGUGUUUGGUUCACCUGUCACUGCACUGCUGGGUUUAAAAACCAGGACUGACAUGAAGUCAUCGCCCAGGACAGUCGGUGGAUUUAACAGAAGUUUGACGUCUUCUGGUCGCAGAUACACGCCGGCUCAGACGGUAAAGAACAGACGUGAUCUGACCUUCACGUCGAGCUUCAAUUGGACUAAAUUUAUUGAAAAAAGUUUCAGCUUCACAUUAAACUGAAACAAUUUGUAACCUCGACGUCUAAAAAGACUUUUCAGUCGUCUAGACAUCUUCUGACCCGUACAGCACCGGAUCAGACCGUUCUGUCUUUGCUGUCACCGUCAGACUUUCAUUCAUUCAUUGAUUUCAAAGCUGCUUUUCCUGCAUGUCAAUGCCGUUUGUCAAAGGGGUGCAGAUGCUUUGCAACAAGACAGAUCUUCACGCUUUCAGACGGUUGAAAUCACCUUUUUGUUGAGCGCAGAUGAAGGAAAAGGAAAAAGUUGAGGAACAAAGUCGGCAUCAGGCGAGCAGAGAAGGUGUAACGCUGCAGCAGAUUGUCUUUACAUCGUUCACGUCGAGAGGCCUGUUGGUUUUUUCAUUUAUUGCUUCUCUCGACAAUCUCGCGUGCCCGAGCCAAACAAGUACAAACUGUUCAAAAAUAAA